rnacentral:lncRNA from 1 species
GGAAGGGGUCGAGGGCACUCGCCAUAGCAGCAGCGGUAGAACAUAGCUAUCAGUCACUAGUCUCCCCCGGCUCUGUCAAGCCAGGAAACCUCCUGUAGGUGCCACACAAAUACAAUUAACCUUUAGGAAGUCGGGGUGCCAGCCUGGGAGGGAGAACUCCCCUCAAGAAACCCCACCUUCUCAACCCUCUUGGACUCCGGGCACAGAGAGGAAAAAGUUUAAAGCAAGCAGGAUGCACCCACUCCAUCCAUCAUCCUGACACGGCUCUAACCUCCAGGAAUCCAGGGGACUCCAAGAAGAACAAAGGCCAACCAAGACGCCAGCGUGAGCCACCAAGUCCAGCCACGGUGACUUCCCCGGGGGACUUCUGCCACCGCACCCCCUGCCCACAGGGGCUUUCCUGGCCAAAGAGCUUCCUGCCUUCCUGUUGUCCUCCACUAGCCAUCCUGCCGCUCCAUCGGUCUCUGGAGAAACCAACCCUGCAACACAGCAGAGGGCUGGGCAAGGCGGUAACUUAGAGAUCCCUGGCUGAGAACCUCAAGGUUGAAGAUAAAUUCAUUUGCCUUCAGGUGCUUGAGCUGAUCCAUUAAUUACAGCUGACUUGGACCGGCUCUCUGUAAACAGGAUUACAGGCAGAAGCAUUCUGUCCUCUGGUCUUCUAAUGUGCCACCACAUGUGACAAUGGCUUGCCAAUUCCAGUCCCUGUGGGGAGGGCUUGUCCCCAUGACAAUGUGCAGGUACCUUUUCGGCACAUGAGGCAGAGCAACGUUCAGAGGUCCGGGAUGGUGGCUGACUCGGCUCCAGGGGGCCUGAGGGGAGAGGUGAAGGCGAUUCCACCCAGCCUGGAAACUCCCCGACUCUCAGCCUUCCCACUGGGAGAGGCAUCAGUGUCUGUCCCCUCCGACCAUUCCGGAGUACACGGGGCCUAGAUGCGGGGUUGGGUGAGCACCGCUGGCAGCACUGAAUUUCAGGGGAGGCUCCACUUCCUUCCCAGAGAAACGAAAGCUCAGGGCUGUCUGGGUGUCCCUGCAGCCUUUGCCCACAGCUUAAGUUCUGACACCUCACCUCUGAGGGCGGCCAGGCAGGGCCACAGGGGGCCUUCCAGGUCCUUCCACCCGUUCUCUGGGGCUGCACACACCCAGCAGGGCGGCCCCUCCCCACCCCACCGUCACCCACCUGCAGCUCCCCGUGCCCCCCCCAGCACCUCAGCAGAUGGCAUUCUGAGUCCCACCACGGCUCCAUCCCCGCUCCCAGCCCAUUCAGGGUCCAAGGCCAGACUUGGUGGCCUUCAUUACAGACUAUAACACAAAAACACAAUAAAAUAAAA